UGCAACCACACAUUUUGAGACGAUGUAUAUGCCCUCUGAUCCCGCUGGAAUAGUGGGCAGACAGGCCGGAUGGAAAUAUGUAGUUCCGUUCACAGUAUUGAUGUGUGAUUGGACGGAUGGUGAAUUGCCGCAUGGAGGCUCACUUGCCACAGUCCACAACAGGUGGCUGUGCUCGUGAGUCCAUCUGCAGAUGCUUUAGUUAUUAAUGUAUGCCUUUUUUAUUAAAUUCACUGAAAGACAAGUUGUUACGUUGGUUUGUGUCUUGUUUUAACCGAAACUGCCACCACAAUUUUGCGUUGUCGGCAGGAUCACUCGUGUGAGCGGGACCGCUGGAACUCUGUGCGAGGGUAAAGACUGUGCACUUCUGGAGUCCGGGACUCUAGCCUCAACCUCCCCAUAAAAAGGGUGUUGAGGUGGGGGCCUGACGCCAAGGAGGACCAAGUCUCGCUCACCGCUGUGAUACAAAGAACCAGGUGGCAAAGAAAAAAAAAAAAAAAUAAACAACUCUGUCUUUCUGGUAAGUAAGAAUUCAUUGAUAAAAAGGCAUACAUUAAAAGAUUUCAUUCAUACGGCGUCUGUACAGGGGGAUACAGUAUCUGUACAGGGGGAUAAAGUGCUGUUGGGGAAUGAAGAGAGGGAUUCUCCCACUUCGAGGGUGGUUGUGACAGACGUGUCAACAGGGCAGGUGUUAGACGACCGCUGUAGAAUCCAGGGCUAGCACAAUACGGUACCAAGGAGUUCAGGGAACUCAGAGGGAUAACAUCAAUACACUGUAAUCACACAUAGUGUAAUAAUUAUAAUAAUAUUGCUAUCUUUUUUCUUUUGAUCCAGUGGACUGAUCACCCACUGGAAGAAAAAGAAAAAAGAGGGGGUGAAAGGGUAACUAGAAGUAAGACCUUACUGGAGUUAAAGCAUAACCACCUGUAGGAGUUGAAGUAUAUAAAGGUACAACCACCUGUAGAAAUCUCUAAGCAAAAAAUCUUGAUAAAAAAUUAUUUCAUGGAGACAUUGGAAAUCCAGACUGGGAUUUUGCAUGUAUGAGAAAGUGUGCACUUUGACGGAAGAAAGUCACCGCUCUUCAAAUCUGUAGUGAGAGAGUGAGUGAGAAUGGCUGUGAAUGGGGUUCAGAUGAAUUAAGAAGAAAAAUGACAAAGGCGAUGAUUAAUGAUAGGAUUAAACGCCAAGGUAAAACUCCGUCCCCUCAGUGUUUGUUGAGUGUGUUGACUGAAGCUAAAAUCCCACUUUUAGAGCAAUUGAAUUGAACUGAACAAAUUCACUGUUUCACUUUACCCCAAGAUAACGAUAAAGCAAAAGCUUCAGAGGCAGAGUUAGGAAAAA